rnacentral:rRNA from 1 species
GAUAAACGCUGGCGGCGUGCAUGAGACAUGCAAGUCGAACGAGUACCGGGCUUGCUCGGUGCUAGUGGCGGACGGCUGAGUAACGCGUAGGUGACCUACCCCGAAGUGGGGAAUAACUGCCCGAAAGGGUGGCUAAUACCGCAUGUGGUCGCACCUUCAUUGGUGCGAGUAAAGCCGCAAGGCGCUUCGGGAGGGGCCUGCGUCCGAUUAGCUCGUUGGUGGGGUAAUGGCCUGCCAAGGCGACGAUCGGUAGGUGGUCUGAGAGGACGAUCACCCAGACUGGGACUGAGACACGGCCCAGACUCCUACGGGAGGCAGCAGUCGGGAAUUUUGCUCAAUGGGGGAAACCCUGAAGCAGCAACGCCGCGUGAGGGAUGAAGGCCUUCGGGUUGUAAACCUCUUUUGUCAGGGACGAUGAUGACGGUACCUGGCGAAUAAGCCACGGCUAACUUCGUGCCAGCCGCCGCAGUAAAAC